rnacentral:rRNA from 1 species
AGACCCGAAACCCGGUGAUCUAGCCAUGGGCAGGUUGAAGGUUGGGUAACACUAACUGGAGGACCGAACCGACUAAUGUUGAAAAAUUAGCGGAUGACCUGUGGCUGGGGGUGAAAGGCCAAUCAAACCGGGAGAUAGCUGGUUCUCCCCGAAAGCUAUUUAGGUAGCGCCUCGUGAAUUCAUCUCCGGGGGUAGAGCACUGUUUCGGCUAGGGGGCCAUCCCGGCUUACCAACCCGAUGCAAACUGCGAAUACCGGAGAAUGUUAUCACGGGAGACACACGGCGGGUGCUAACGUCCGUCGUGAAGAGGGAAACAACCCAGACCGCCAGCUAAGGUCCCAAAGUCAUGGUUAAGUGGGAAACGAUGUGGGAAGGCCCAGACAGCCAGGAUGUUGGCUUAGAAGCAGCCAUCAUUUAAAGAAAGCGUAAUAGCUCACUGGUCGAGUCGGCCUGCGCGGAAGAUGUAACGGGGCUAAACCAUGCACCGAAGCUGCGGCAGCGACACUCAGGUGUUGUUGGGUAGGGGAGCGUUCUGUAAGCCUGUGAAGGUGGCCUGUGAGGGUUGCUGGAGGUAUCAGAAGUGCGAAUGCUGACAUAAGUAACGAUAAAGCGGGUGAAAAGCCCGCUCGCCGGAAGACCAAGGGU